rnacentral:lncRNA from 1 species
CAUUCUUAAUUUUAGAAAAUUAAUCAAUGUUCUCUAUCAGAUUAUUCUAAUGUUAACAGCCUGUCCAACCCAAAGUCAACGAGCUAUACUUGAUAAGUGGAUGGACCAUGACAAUAAAGGUAAGUGCUAUAUGUUGAAAUCUAUGUUAAGAUGAACUCCUACGUAUGUAUGAGCACAUGUACACUGCCAACAAUAUAUUGAUUCAUCUACAAGUAUGGUGAGGU